rnacentral:tRNA from 1 species
GCCCUUGUAGUUCAACGGAUAGAAUAGCGGUUUCCUAAACCGUAGAUCUGAGUUCGAUUCUCAGCAGGGGUA